UGGUAUUUAGUCUAACAACCAAGACUAUUAAUUUCGGCUUAAUAAAUCAUGGUGUAAAUCCAUGAAUACCUU
rnacentral:tRNA from 1 species